UACGAAGGGGGCUAGCGUUGCUCGGAAUUACUGGGCGUAAAGGGCUCGUAGGCGGCCAACUAAGUCAGACGUGAAAUCCCUCGGCUUAACCGGGGAACUGCGUCUGAUACUGGAUGGCUUGAGAUUGGGAGAGGGAUGCGGAAUUCCAGGUGUAGCGGUGAAAUGCGUAGAUAUCUGGAGGAACAUCGGUGGCGAAGGCGGCAUCCUGGACCAACACUGACGCUGAGGAGCGAAAGCCAGGGGAGCAAACGGG
rnacentral:rRNA from 1 species